rnacentral:rRNA from 1 species
GACGAACGCUGGCGGCGUGCCUAAUACAUGCAAGUAGAACGCACAGUUUAUACCGUAGCUUGCUACACCAUAGACUGUGAGUUGCGAACGGGUGAGUAACGCGUAGGUAACCUGCCUGGUAGCGGGUGAUAACUAUUGGAAACGAUAGCUAAUACCGCAUAAUAUUGAUUAUUGCAUGAUAAUUGAUUGAAAGAUGCUAUUGCAUCACUACCAGCUGGACCUGCGUUGUAUUAGCUAGUAGGUGAGGUAACGGCUCACCUAGGCGACGAUACAUAGCCGACCUGAGAGGGUGAGCGGCCACACUGGGACUGAGACACGGCCCAGACUCCUACGGGAGGCAGCAGUAGGGAAUCUUCGGCAAUGGACGAAAGUCUGACCGAGCAACGCCGCGGGAGUGAAGAAGGUUUUCGGAUCGUAAAGCUCUGUUGUAAGAGAAGAACGGGGGUGAGAGUGGAAAGUUCACACUGUGACGGUAUCUUACCAGAAAGGGACGGCUAACUACGUG